UUUUGGACAAUGGGGGCAACCCUGAUCCAGCAAUGCCGCGUGAGUGAAGAAGGCCUUCGGGUUGUAAAGCUCUUUUGUCAGGGAAGAAACACCGGCUCUAACACAGUCCGGGAAUGACGGUACCUGAAGAAUAAGCACCGGCUAACUACGUGCCAGCAGCCGCGGUAAUACGUAGGGUGCGAGCGUUAAUCGGAAUUACUGGGCGUAAAGCGUGCGCAGGCGGUUAUACAAGACAGGCGUGAAAUCCCCGGGCUUAACCUGGGAAUGGCGCCUGUGACUGUAUAGCUAGAGUGUGUCAGAGAGGGGUAGAAUUCCACGUGUAGCAGUGAAAUGCGUAGAUAUGUGGAGGAAUACCAAUGGCGAAGGCAGCCCCCUGGGAUGAUACUGACGCUCAUGCACGAA
rnacentral:rRNA from 1 species